rnacentral:rRNA from 1 species
GUCUACGGCCAUACCACCCUGAACACGCCCGAUCUCAUCUGAUCUCUGAGCUAAGCAGGGUCGGGCCUGGUUAGUACUUGGAUGGGAGACU